CCCUGAUUCUACCAUUUUAUACCAUGUGACAAAGGUCAAGAUGGCAUGCUGGCAAUCGCAAGGAAGUGAAAUCGAGAGGUUUUUAUAAAUAUAUUCAUUCCUUUUCAAUCUAUAUUAAUAUGUUGUAACAUGGCAGUGUUAUACCAUGUUAUUUAAUAUAUUCAAUACUAUAUAUUCAGUAUACUGUUAUAAUUAUAAGAGGAAGACCUUAGGCAACCUUCCUCGCAUGAAUAAGCAAAUAUUUAGAGAGAUUAAAGAACCACGGGAAACGCCUAGUACCACAAACCACGCAAACAGGACAUAGUUUUGUGGUUGAUAAACACUGCUAGAACUUGCUUUGACAAACAUAUUGCGUAGAGGAAAUUAGUCAUAGUUACAGAUUUCUUCCUCUAAAAUUUAUUAUAAAAGCUGAGCACAACCUGAGAGUCGAGAGCGGAGAGUGAAGUGAGAAGAGCCAUUUAGGCUAAAAUACUUCAUAAGCCAACAAAGGCUGAAGUAUAUAAUUAAAAGGCUAGAUAAUUAAGCCUCGUCAAGUAAACUGAAGAACAUUGGAAUAUUGUGGAAUAAUUAUUAUUAAAGAAGACGGAAUACAAAGUAUAAAGAAUAAAGAUUCAAAGUUGUGCUCAGCUCAAACAAAUAGAGAGAUAAGUUGAUAUAUUAAGAUUAUUAUAUUAUUAUAACAUUAUAGAGACGCUAAUUCAUAUUGUUGAAAGUAAAUAAAAUAUAUAAAAGGUAUAAGGUUUCAUGCUAUUUGUGUUACGGUAGCGUUAAUAUAAUUUGAACCCGAAGCCUAAAGGUUGAAAAUAUACCUAAUUGGAAAAUAUAUUUGACGCAUAAAUAACGCACCAUAACAAUGUUAAUAUGUCCAUCCAUCCAUGCAUGGAAUCUAUAUUGUUGUGGAAAGUUCGACAUUUGUUUGUUUAUAUUAAUAUGUUUUUAUGUUCUUUUGAGUUUUGGAACAAAAUAUUAAUAUUUUAAAAUGUGGGCGAUUAAUGCGGUGGCCCGGAGAUUGGCGAGGAGAUAUUAUGCAGGAGAUAACUUCGCUCACACGACUUACAAUUACCCCCGGGGGUGGGGCAUUUUUUGUCUUUUGCUAGAAAAUUUUGUCCCAUAUUGUGGGUCAUUUGUCU